UACGGAGGGGGCAAGCGUUACUCGGAAUUAUUGGGCGGAAAGGGCGCGUAGGCGGUCGUGCGCGUCGGAGGUGAAAUCCCCGGGCUUAACCCGGGAGCUGCCUCCGAUACGGCAUGGCUUGAGUCCGGGAGAGGGGAGCAGAAUUCCCAGUGUAGCGGUGAAAUGCGUAGAUAUUGGGAGGAAUACCGGUGGCGAAGGCGGCUCCCUGGACCGGUACUGACGCUGAGGCGCGAAAGCGUGGGUAGCAAACAGG
rnacentral:rRNA from 1 species